UACGAAGGGGGCUAGCGUUGCUCGGAAUCACUGGGCUUAAAGGGCGCGUAGGCGGGCGGUCAAGUCAGAGGUGAAAUCCCACGGCUCAACCGUGGAAGUGCCCCUGAUACUGAUCGCCUCGAGGGAGGUAGGGGCGUGCGGAACUUCCGGUGGAGCGGUGAAAUGCGUAGAUAUCGGAAGGAACACCGAUGGCGAAAGCAGCGCGCUGGACCUUUACUGACGCUGAGGCGCGAAAGCCAGGGGAGCAAACGGG
rnacentral:rRNA from 1 species